UAGCUCAGCUGGAUAGAGCAUUUGAUUGCGGUUCAAAAGGUCAGAGGUUCGAAUCCU
rnacentral:tRNA from 1 species